rnacentral:rRNA from 1 species
GAUGGACGCUGGCGGCGUGCCUAAUACAUGCAAGUCGAGCGAACGGACGAGAAGCUUGCUUCUCUGAUGUUAGCGGCGGACGGGUGAGUAACACGUGGAUAACCUACCUAUAAGACUGGGAUAACUUCGGGAAACCGGAGCUAAUACCGGAUAAUAUUUUGAACCGCAUGGUUCAAAAGUGAAAGACGGUCUUGCUGUCACUUAUAGAUGGAUCCGCGCUGCAUUAGCUAGUUGGUAAGGUAACGGCUUACCAAGGCAACGAUGCAUAGCCGACCUGAGAGGGUGAUCGGCCACACUGGAACUGAGACACGGUCCAGACUCCUACGGGAGGCAGCAGUGGGGAAUCUUCCGCAAUGGGCGAAAGCCUGACGGAGCAACGCCGCGUGAGUGAUGAAGGUCUUCGGAUCGUAAAACUCUGUUAUUAGGGAAGAACAUAUGUGUAAGUAACUGUGCACAUCUUGACGGUACCUAAUCAGAAAGCCACGGCUAACUACGUG